rnacentral:rRNA from 1 species
UACAGAGGUCUCAAGCGUUGUUCGGAUUCAUUGGGCGUAAAGGGUGUGUAGGUGGCGCGCUAAGUCGGGUGUGAAAUUUCGGAGCUUAACUCCGAAACUGCAUUCGAUACUGGCGUGCUUGAGGACUGGAGAGGAGACUGGAAUUCAUGGUGUAGCAGUGAAAUGCGUAGAGAUCAUGAGGAAGACCAGUGGCGAAGGCGGGGUCUCUGGACAGUUCCUGACACUGAGACACGAAGGCCAGGGGGAGCAAACGGGG